rnacentral:rRNA from 1 species
CGUGGAGACAGGUGGUGCAUGGCUGUCGUCAGCUCGUGUCGUGAGAUGUUGGGUUAAGUCCCGCAACGAGCGCAACCCUUAUCCUUAGUUGCCAUCAAUUCAGUUGGGCACUUUAAGGAGACUGCCGGUGUCAAACCGGAGGAAGGUGGGGAUGACGUCAAGUCCUCAUGGCCCUUAUGUCCAGGGCUACACACGUGCUACAAUGGUCGGUACAAAGGGUCGCAAUACCGCGAGGUGGAGCCAAUCCCAAAAAGCCGGCCUCAGUUCGGAUUGGAGUCUGCAACUCGACUCCGUGAAGUUGGAAUCGCUAGUAAUCGUGGAUCAGCAUGCCACGGUGAAUACGUUCCCGGGCCUUGUACACACCGCCCGUCACACCACGAAAGUCUGCUGUACUCGAAGUCGCUGAG